GACAGUUCGGUCUCUAUCUGUAGUGGGCGCUUGAUAUUUGAGAGGACCUCCCUCUAGUACGAGAGGACCGGGGGGGACGAACCUCUAGUGUACCUGUUGUGACGCCAGUUGCAUCGCAGGGUAGCUAUGUUCGGAUGAGAUAAGCACUGAAAGCAUCUAAGUGCGAAACUUACCUCAAGAUGAGAUAUCAUUGAGAACCGUUAAAGACGAUGACGUUGAUAGGCUGCAGGUGUAAAGACAGUAAUGUCAAAGCCGAGCAGUACUAAUUGUUCGAAGCUUUCAAU
rnacentral:rRNA from 1 species